GGGCGGUUAGCUCAGCUGGAUAGAGCGCAGGCCUCCGAAGCCUGAGGUCGGGAGUUCGAAUCUCCUGCCGCCCGCCA
rnacentral:tRNA from 1 species